rnacentral:rRNA from 1 species
GUUGAACGCUAGCUACAGGCUUAACACAUGCAAGUCGAGGGACCGGCGCAUGGGUGAGUAACAUGUAUCAAACAUGCCCUUUACUCGGGGUUAGACUUUCGAAAGAAAGGUUAAUACCCGAUAUAAAGGAUGGGGUUGCGUUCCAUUAGGUGUGUGGUGAGGUAACGGCCCGGCAAGCCUUCGAUGGAUAGGGGUUCUGAGAGGAAGGUCCCCCACAUUGGAACUGAGACACCGUCCAAACUCGUACGGAGCGCAGCAGUGUGGAAUAUUGGUGGAUGGGGAUUGGCCUGAACCAGCCGAGUGGCGUGAAGGAUGAAGGCUUAUGGGUCGUAAUCUUCUUUUAUAUAAGAAUAUGUAUUAUAAGAAUAAGGAUCGGCUAACUCCGUGCCAGCAGCCGCGGUAAUUC